ACGUCACUUAGGGUUUUUUGAAAAUCCCACCCAAUCAUUAUUUUUUCCCUCCCCUUGUCUAUCUAGUAGUUAGAUUACAAGCUCCUCUGGGCAGGGACUGUUCUCAUAUGUAUUUGUACAGCUCAUGACGCAGUGGGGCCUCAAUCUCAGUUGCUACCCAAGCACAAGUAUAAAUAAAUCAACGGCAAGGCUCCUGAGAGGUUCCCAACACCUCCAUCCCACCUUAAUUCACUGUGCCUAAAGGAUGUUGAGCAUGCCUGUCAGAGAGUAGCUGACCCUCUGAAGGAGUCAUGGGCUCAGCCUACUUCUGACAAGCUCCACAAAGGGGAAUGAGGCAACUGAGGUUCACCUGGGACUAAUUAACUUACUGAGCAACUAGGAGGCAGUUAAUUGGACAGGGAAGCACCCAGCCAGGAAGGAAGCUAUUCGCACUGGUGAUGGCCUAGAGAACAGAGGCUCUGGGGGAGAGGAACAGUCUCCAGAACACUGUCUCCUAGACUGCUUAAAAUCCACCUGGCUGCUCCACACGGCUUGGGCUGAGCCCUGUUUGAUCUCUCUGAGGUUUCAUUAGAAUCCAUAAAGGUCAUCACUAUCAUUAUCCCCAUUGUACAGAUGGGAAAACCAAGGCACAGAGGUGAAGUGACUUGGCCAAGGUCAUCCAGGAGGUCAAUGGCCAAUCUGGGAACAGGACCCAGAUCUCUUGAGUGCAAGUGCAGUGCUCUAGCCACUAGGCCACACUGCCUUUCCCUGAUAUGGCUCUCUAUAAACCAUACCUAAGAAGAAUUCCUCAGAGUAUACAGUUACUGGCAAAGAGAGCACAGUGUGCUUAGAAAUCAAUUGUGUGAAACAAAUGAGCAUAAAUGAAUAUGUGACAUAGGAAACUGGUGUAAUCUUAUUUGGGACAAUGCCUAGACUUUGUAAGUAACCUACACCGUACGUUAGUGGGCUGAGCCACUUUUGCCCACAGUAGGAAAACCAUGUGAAAAUGAGCAAAUGGCUGGUGGACUUGUUCUUAAGUUAAUAACUUUUGGAGGGAGACUGACCUCAUUUCUUUUUCCUGCCCUGCACCCUCGUGGAAGCUCCUCAGCUGGGCCUGGUAUUGUUGAGUGAGCCUCUCAAACUGCUCCAAGACAGCUUAGCAACAAACAGGAUAUGAGAGGGGUGACUUUAUCCCUGGACAAAGAGAGCUAUCUAUCUGGGACUGGGUUUGGCUCAGGAGUGUGUUCUCUGACACUGGGUCCAAGUGAUCAACUCUCUGCCAUGGCAAAGGUGAGCACGGGGAAAGCUGUCUGCUGGG